rnacentral:rRNA from 1 species
UACGUAGGGUGCAAGCGUUGUCCGGAAUUAUUGGGCGUAAAGAGCUCGUAGGCGGUUUGUCGCGUCGGCUGUGAAAACUCGGGGCUCAACCCCGAGCCUGCAGUCGAUACGGGCAGACUAGAGUGCGGUAGGGGAGACUGGAAUUCCUGGUGUAGCGGUGAAAUGCGCAGAUAUCAGGAGGAACACCGGUGGCGAAGGCGGGUCUCUGGGCCGUAACUGACGCUGAGGAGCGAAAGCGUGGGGAGCAAACAGG